GGGCCCGUAGCUCAGCCGGUAGAGCAACUGACUUUUAAUCAGUGGGUCGCAGGUUCGAAUCCUGCCGGGCUCACCA
rnacentral:tRNA from 1 species